CCUGUUGAGGUGCUCCACCAAAACCUGUUGCAGGUGGAGCUAAGAAAAAUUACCCACCAUGCCAUCCAUUACACAAAAAAAAACAAUUCGUUUCUUUCUAUCCCCAGCCUUGACCGAGCCUGACCGCCCCUUCCCUGCGCCCCGACUCCAGACUCGCCUCCCCCAGCGCUAACCCUAGCGCCGCCGCCAGCAGCCACCGCGCCGCCGGGAGGGUGGAUCCGCGCCACCGCCGGCAAAAUGUCUGGCCGAGGAGGUCCUCCGCGUCAGGCACGCACGGAUUUGGUUGCUGAAGCCCACGCCGCACAAAUCGCUUUGUCCUAACGUGGUGCCGGCCGGGGAGGAUCGGAGUUCAGGGGCGGCGACGGCGGGGAAGACCUGGAGGGCGUCGGUGUGAGGCGCGGCGGCGUUCAGGCAAGUGGCUCCAUCGACCCUCUUGCUGGCCAUGUGGAGAGCGGUGUCACCGAGGAGGGCCAGGCGCUCGGCGGCGUGGGGCGUGGUUGCCAUGCCGCCAGUACCCAGAACCGGGGUGGCGCAGGCCAACCUUAUCGCCAGCCACGAGCUGCAUCCGCCCAGAAACCAAAGAAGAAAGGUGCAGAGGAUUCCAUGGAUUGCACAGAUGAGCAAGUUACAUUUGUUUGUAAGUUGUUUGCCCAGCAAGUGAUCAAAGGGAAUAGACCCAAUAACCAUUUGAAUGCCGUAGGCUAUGAUGAGGUGAUAGAAAUGUUUAGGCAAAUGAAAGGAUUUGAGUUGACUAGGCUGCAACUCAAGAAUAAGUGGGAUAAGUUGAAGCCUGAUUUUUUAGCAUGGCAAAAAUUGACGAGGCGGCAAACGGGAACAGGAUGGGAUCAAUCUAAAGGUGUGGUUGUCAUGGAUGAUGAGUGGUGGAAAAAAGGCAAAGCAGGACAUCCCUGGAUGCGGCAAGUUUAGGAAGAAACCUUUGCAGAAUGUAGAGGACAUUAAGACUAUGUUUUUUGACAUAAUCAAUGAUGCAUCCGAUCAUUGGAAUCCUAUGAGUGAGAACCCUAUCAUCCCUGAGGAGUACGAAGCUGGACCUGAAGUUGGAGAUGAUGUUCAAGAGGACGAAGAUGUUCAAGACGUCCAAGAUGCUGCUGCUAAUGAUGAUGUCGUGGAGGUUCCUCCUUCCAUUGGUUUAGGAAAAAGAAGAGCUCGGGUGGUUGUUGAGAAAGGGAAGAAACAAAGGACAUGAACUGCACUUGUUAUUCAAGAACAAGUUACUAAGAUUGCCGAAUCAACCUCCUCUUAUUCCUCAAAGAAGUCAAGCGAAGUGACUGUGCAAGAAGUCAUGGAUCUAGUUUUGGAUUGCGGGGCUGGUUAUGGAACGGAUGAGCAUUAUAUUGCAACAGAGUUGUUUGUGAAAAAAAGAUCAAAGGGACAUGUUCAUGACCCUUCCAACUAAAGAGAUUAGGUUCAACUAGCUUAGGAGGAAGUAUGAUGCCAAGUAUGAAAAUUGAUCCAUGAUGGCUGUUAUGUUAGGCUUUUUCAAGAACAAUUUGUCUUACUCUUAUUUUCCUAGUUGAGCUAUGCUCAUGAAGUUGCUGUAAUAAUAUUGGACCAAGUACUAUUGUAUUUGGACGUACUAUGAUUAAUGUUAUCCCUCUACUUGAUGACUUA